AUGAUAGGCAUUCUCAGUGGCAUGCCAUUAAAAUACAAUGAAUAUCUUUGGGUCCUUAAAUCACAAUUUCUGAAUUGAUAUAUCCAGCAGGUGAAUCAGAAGAGAAGAUAUAAUUCUUGUCGGCAAAGAAGAAACAAAUGGAAGUGCAGCAUACCACUACUACCAAGACCCUCGAGCAUAAGGCCUUGGGAGUCAGGAAAGUCAACCAAGAUGCAAAACAAGGUGAGUGGAGAAGGCAUAGAUGGAACCUCCCUUGGGUGGUCUGAACCGGAGGAAGACCACACUCAUCUCCCUGACACAGGUAACAAGUAGGACCCAGGCAGCUUGUGGCUCUGACUCACAAACACAGGGAUGAUGGUAUAGGGCAUAAAGUCAAACAGAAAGGUUUUGCUUUGUAAUGUGUUAAUGCUCUUGUUAGUUAACUGGAUCAAAAGUUGAUAGAAUACUCUAGAAAAGAAUCCCCAAACACAUCCCAUCUAUCUCAGUAGGGAAUCAGUCCUUCUACCCAUUUCCUCAAAGCACAGAUAGAGCUCUUCUUAUUACUGGCCCUUUUCUGGGAUUACAGGCCAGUCACACUCCUGACCCUACAGAAAUUACAGUCAAAUGAAGUAUUCUAGGAGGGACACUCUUUCAGCCAACACACCUGGG
rnacentral:lncRNA from 1 species